CCCUUAGAUGUCCGGGGCUGCACGCGCGCUACACUGUAGAAAGCAGCGUGCUUUAAAACCUUUCCUGAAAAGGAUGGGUAACCCCAGCAAAAUUCUACGUGCUUGGGAUAGAGAUUUGCAAUUUUCUCUCUUGAACGAGGAAUUCCCAGUAAGUGCGAGUCAUCAGCUCGCGUUGAUUACGUCCCUGCCCUUUGUACACACCGCCCGUCGCUACUACCGAUUGAAUGGUUUAGUGAGAUCUCUGGAUUGACGCUGGCUAGGGGGCGACCCUUGGCCAGACUGUUGAGAAACUGCUCAAACUUGAUCAUUUAGAGGAAGUAAAAGUCGUAACA
rnacentral:rRNA from 1 species